GAUGAACGCUAGCUACAGGCUUAACACAUGCAAGUCGAGGGGCAGCAUGACGAUAGCUUGCUAUUGUCGAUGGCGACCGGCGCACGGGUGAGUAACGCGUAUCCAACCUUCCCGUUGCUAGGGGAUAACCUUGCGAAAGUAAGACUAAUACCCUAUGAGGUUCUUCGCAGGCAUCUAAAGAGAACGAAAGAUUUAUCGGCAACGGAUGGGGAUGCGUCUGAUUAGGUUGUUGGCGGGGUAACGGCCCACCAAGCCUACGAUCAGUAGGGGUUCUGAGAGGAAGGUCCCCACAUUGGAACUGAGACACGGUCCAA
rnacentral:rRNA from 1 species